GAUGGUUUUAUUUUUUUAUUAUUGCUUGGCCCUAAUCCUCUUCUGUAAAUUAUCCUUUAUUUCAUCAAGAUUUUUUAAAUAUCAUCAAACAUACCUAGAGGUUUUUGCAUGCACAAACAAUUGUGCCUGCUUAACCAUUCACCAAAAUGUUGAUAUUUCCCUGACCUCUGAACCAAAUUGUUUGUGAAGAGGAAAAGUAGUUCUUCUAAUGUGUAUCUCAAGGGACAACAGUGCUAUUGUGAUAGUGAAGAGAAAACUGCAGUGAGAAACAUUCUAGCAGCGCUAUUGUUGUAAUGAGGGGUGUAAUGGGAAACAGCACUCACAAAAUUGUUUUUAUUUUUCACGUACUCAAGUAGACUCUUCAAAACCACUAGAAUAUUGCUGAAGAAGGAAAUUAAUUGUACAGUAUAUGCCUCAGCAAGCAAAACAUAUUAAAUCGCCUCAAAAUCGGUUUCAACUUCUCAAACCAUGAGAUGCAGUGUUGCAGGUUGCCCAGAAUAAUCAGUUUGUAUCUCUUUUUGUUUCAAAGAGAUGUUGACUAUCUACAGAGAUAGUCUAGUGUAAGUAAAAAGAAAAAACUAUGGUGGCAUCUCCUAAUACGCUUAUUUUCAAAUCUAAAUUUGAUCAUAUUACAUAUAGUACUAAACAAGCAAAGCAAGAUCUGACAAAGCGUUCCAACACAUUGUCACGCAGUGUGUUAUUUAACAGCAUUUCACUGAGCUUCUGUGAUCAAAUCGAUUUAAUAAGACCCUGUUUAAAACCGAAUUCGUCCAGUGUGGCUCCCCAGUGUUCUCCUCUAUGCCCGAUUGUUCAUAGAUCUGAUUGAAGUACAGUUCCUGUCACUAGACAUUGCAGGAUGGCUGAGGCUGGUACAGAAGAAGGAUGUUUGUUGGGCUGUGGAUUGCAGUGGGCUUUUUGAGAACUGGACAUCCAUUGUUUCACACACAGGAAGAACUGUAGGACCAUUUGUUGUGAGACCAAGCACAAUGGACCCUCAUACUGACCCCAAGGUCACUGCCCACACUUUCGGGCACAGCUCCACGUCGGCUUUAUAAUAUAGGAAAAGGUCUUUAAAGCACAGUCAUUCACAUUGAUAUCGUCCUAAACGUUCUCUGUGGGAUUUGGCUAUUGUUUUGGCGCGUACAGUACACCAUUGUGGUGUUUGAAGGAGGCAAUAGGCACUUACAAGGCGUAUAUAUUUAAUUCCGUGCCGUCAUUGUGUAAGUGAUUCUCAUUAGCUUACAUCAAUUCUUUAAUUACAAUUUUCAUUAAUCGCCUGCAGCUCCCUCAGCAAACCAUGAAGACCCAUUUAAAUCCAUUUCAUUGAGGCACUGAUAAUAAGCAAUUCAGAUAGAGUAUGUUUUUCAUUUUAGAGUCCUUUUUCCGCUACAAUGCCAGACUGCGUUUCACAGAACACAUCCGAACUCUCAGGUCCGUAUUAUCUGAUCGGGUCCAUACUGAAUUUCACCGUUUUGUCAGCACGCAAGUUUUUCCUACCAGCUCUUCUUUCAGUUCACCUUGUCGGGUCGUCCUUGGACUGACUGCUAAAGCGUCAUGUAGUGCGUCUCCCAGCAGUUUCAAAAGUAGGUUGGACCCAUUUUCACACUAGGAGCUGCGAGAUUUCACCGAUUGCCAUCUUUUACCUUAAUGGGAGGGAGAUAUAAGGAUGUUGUAAUUUGGAAUAUAAAGGUGUAUUAAAUGAAUGGUACACCCAAAAA